GUGGGUGGGAAAGGUGGACAGCCCAGGUGAGCUUCCUUUGUUUAGAAAGCCCACCAAAAGCCUUGGAAGGAGGGGCUCUACUGCAAGCCAGGCAGCCAA